GACGAACGCUGGCGGCGUGCUUAACACAUGCAAGUCGAACGGAAAGGCCCUGCUUUUGUGGGGUGCUCGAGUGGCGAACGGGUGAGUAACCCGUGAGUAACCUGCCCUUGACUUUGGGAUAACUUCAGGAAACUGGGGCUAAUACCGGAUAGGAGCUCCUGCUGCAUGGUGGGGGUUGGAAAGUUUCGGCGGUUGGGGAUGGACUCGCGGCUUAUCAGCUUGUUGGUGGGGUAGUGGCUUACCAAGGCUUUGACGGGUAGCCGGCCUGAGAGGGUGACCGGCCACGUUGGGACUGAGAUACGGCCCAGACUCCUACGGGAGGCAGCAGUGGGGAAUAUUGCACAAUGGGCGGAAGCCUGAUGCAGCAACGCCGCGUGCGGGAUGACGGCCUUCGGGUUGUAAACCGCUUUCGCCUGUGACGAAGCGUGAGUGACGGUAAUGGGUAAAGAAGCACCGGCUAACUACGUG
rnacentral:rRNA from 1 species